rnacentral:rRNA from 1 species
GACGAACGCUGGCGGCGUGCUUAACACAUGCAAGUCGAACGGAAAGGCCUCUUUCGGGGGGUACUCGAGUGGCGAACGGGUGAGUAACACGUGAGUAACCUGCCCUUGACUUUGGGAUAACUUCAGGAAACUGGGGCUAAUACCGGAUAGGAGCUCCUGCUGCAUGGUGGGGGUUGGAAAGUUUCGGCGGUUGGGGAUGGACUCGCGGCGUAUCAGCUUGUUGGUGGGGGAGUGGCUUACCAAGGCUUUGACGGGUAGCCGGCCUGAGAGGGUGACCGGCCACAUUGGGACUGAGAGACGGCCCAGACUCCUACGGGAGGCAGCAGUGGGGAAUAUUGCACAAUGGGUGGAAGCCUGAUGCAGCAACGCCGUGUGCGGGAUGACGGCCUUCGGGUUGUAAACCGCUUUCGCUCAUGACGAAGCUUUGUGUGACGGUAGUGGGUAAAGAAGCACCGGCUAAAUACGUG